UACAGAGGAGCCAAGCGUUGUCCGGAUUGACUGGGCGUAAAGCGCGUGUAGGCGGCUUGGCAAGUCGGUUGUGAAAGCCCGGGGCCCAACCCCGGAAUUGCAUCUGAAACUGCCUCGCUAGAGUCCCGGAGAGGAAGGCAGAAUUCCCGGUGUAGGGGUGAAAUGCGCAGAUAUCGGGAAGAACACCCGUGGCGAAGGCGGUUCUCUGGGACGGUACUGACGCUGAGACGCGAAAGCGUGGGGAGCGAACAGG
rnacentral:rRNA from 1 species